rnacentral:rRNA from 1 species
UACGUAGGGUGCAAGCGUUAAGCGGAAUUACUGGGCGUAAAGCGUGCGCAGGCGGUUGGGUAAGUCUGUCGUGAAAUCCCCGGGCUCAACCUGGGAAUUGCGAUGGAGACUGCACGGCUAGAGUGUGUCAGAGGGGGGUAGAAUUCCACGUGUAGCAGUGAAAUGCGUAGAUAUGUGGAGGAACACCGAUGGCGAAGGCAGCCCCCUGGGAUAACACUGACGCUCAUGCACGAAAGCGUGGGGAGCAAACAGG